rnacentral:rRNA from 1 species
UACGUAGGGUCCGAGCGUUGUCCGGAAUUAUUGGGCGUAAAGAGCGUGUAGGCGGCCAGGUAGGUGGGUUGUGAAAACUGGAGGCUCAACCUUCAGACGUCGACCCAAACCCCCUGGCUAGAGUCCGGAAGAGGAGAGUGGAAUUCCUGGUGUAGCGGUGAAAUGCGCAGAUAUCAGGAAGAACACCCGUUGCGAAGGCGGCUCUCUGGGACGGUACUGACGCUGAGACGCGAAAGCGUGGGGAGCGAACAGG